rnacentral:lncRNA from 1 species
CCCUAUCUACAUAGUAGUGAGUGUUAGAAAAUGAGUAGGGUUGCAUGCAUAGAUUUCAAAAUAAUUUUGAAUAGCAGUGAAAAUAGAUCUAGAUUAAACAUUUAAUCCCACAUGCAUAUCAAAUUGAAUACUACCUAUGCCCAGAUCUAAAACAUGCAUAUAAUCUAAAAAUUAAAAAUUAAAAAUAUUGAGAUCGGAUCUCAAUACCUUGCACAGAUCAAACUAUACUACAGUCG